rnacentral:rRNA from 1 species
GACGAACGCUGGCGGCGUGCUUAACACAUGCAAGUCGAACGGUAAGGCUCCAGCUUGCUGGGGUACACGAGUGGCGAACGGGUGAGUAACACGUGGGUGACCUGCCCUGCACUUCGGGAUAAGCCUGGGAAACUGGGUCUAAUACCGGAUAGGACCGCACCGUGAGGGUGUGGUGGAAAGUUUUUUCGGUGUGGGAUGGGCCCGCGGCCUAUCAGCUUGUUGGUGGGGUAAUGGCCUACCAAGGCGGCGACGGGUAGCCGGCCGGGGAGGGUGGACGGCCAAAUAGGAAUGAGAGCAGGCCCGGGCCUCCUGCGGGGGGGAGGAGGGGGGAAGGUAGCAAAAAGGGGGGGAGCCAGAUGGAGGGACCCCGGGUGGGGGAAGGGGGCCUUCGGGUUGGAAACCCCUUCCCCCUACAAGGGAGGGUUUUGAAGGGAAGUGAGGAAAAAAGCCCCGGCAACCAAGGG